UCAAAAUAAUCCAAGAUUCUUCAGCUUAUGUACGAAAAGGGAUAGAUUAUUUUAUUCUCAUUUGCUUAACAAGACAGAUACUACAACGCGAAUAGAUUGUUAGGCUCGGACCGAUAACCAAAAAUCAAUCGCCUAGACUUGCAAUGUGUGGCGGUCUCGCUCGAUCCGUGGAGCUCGUUAACGAGACCAGUCCGGGCGUGGACAUCGAGCUAACGGAGGUGGAGAGGGUUGAAAGGCAGGGUAGAGUGAUUGUUAGCCUCCGGCCUGGUGAGAGGAGAAAGAUAAGGGGCACCCAAUUCAUAAACCGACACCGGACUUCCUCUACCCCUCGGUGCCUUCAUGCCACCGUGAAGCUUCCCGGCGAUGAACCGCCGCUGAUCCUUGCGGCUAAUGAUUUAGCUGUUAACGGGAAGUUGAAAUUCCGGCUAGUGGAAGGGAGACUUAGUUGCCACCCAGAGGUGAUCUCCAAUUUCCGGCGCUUGAGGUUCUUCCCCUGUGCUGGAGGAAAUUAAGGAGUCGUUAAAGUCGUUGUGCUUGAGUCAUCAAAACUCCGAAUACCAGCUUAAUCUUAAGUUGUUUGUAAAUAAACCUGUAUUGUUUGAAAGAAUAUGUAUUCUAAGACUUAAUUGCAUGGUGAAAACAAUGCCGUCUUGUAAAAGGGAAUUGUUAUUAGAACUCCAAACUUUCUAUAAUUAGAAAGAAAACAUUUAUGACUAGUAUAGAAUAAGAUUUUUGGAGUGCUAGUAACAAUUCUCUUGUAAAAUUCAGUGUGUUUAAUAAUGUGCAGUUACAAAAGGAUA